UAAAUUCUCAACUUCAAAAGGAUUCUUGUCUUUUUUGAAGCUUGGACUAUGGAAGUUUGCUGGUGUCACUAUCAGCUCUUCUUAAAUGCAUUAGCGGAACUUUGAAGGACCAGCUUUGGUUUGAUAAUCCUAUCUAUGCCGCUGCUGUGGACUUGUGUGUGUUCAGCUCCUAAUGGUCUUCGGACUGUCUCCAUUGUGAGGCAUACACUUUUUAA
rnacentral:misc_RNA from 1 species